rnacentral:lncRNA from 1 species
AAUGUGGACAACACAAAACCAAACUGUCCUGACACAUUUCUUCAGAAGUUCUGGCUAUACCUUUCUCCCAGGUCUUUUCAAACCUUGUAGGAGGCACUGGCCUGCUGCUCUGAAAUUAACUAAGGCCUCCCUGGAGAGGAGCUGUGUCACAUGAGUAUCCUGACACAUCAGUUCCUCCACCUAAAUGUGCCCUGUGACCCCACACUGGAGGAUUCUGAUCAGUGUGCAGGAAGUCACAGAUGUCUCAGGGAUUUAAAUUAAUACUGUAAAUCUCAGGAUUAUGGGGAAAGAGCUUGGGGCUUGUCUAAUAGCCUCCAACCUGACUGUGGCGUUAGUCUGACUGCCACGAGAGCUUGCAGGGAGUCCCUGCAACUUCCAGGAAGAAGACUGUGUAUUCCAGUAGCAUUUCAACAAAACAACAGGAGCAGCAGCAGCAGCAGUAACUGCAACAACAACAACAACAACAACAACAACAACAACAACAACAAUGAAUUGAAAAUCAAGCCAAGAACACCACAAGAAGAGCCACAGAGUCAAGAACCUGAGACCAUGAAUGGGGGCUCACAGAGCUUGGGCCACCAACCGGGGAGCACACAAUAGCUAGAAAUAGA